GACGAACGCUGGCGGCGUGCCUAAUACAUGCAAGUAGAACGCUGAAGAGAGGAGCUUGCUCUUCUUGGAUGAGUUGCGAACGGGUGAGUAACGCGUAGGUAACCUGCCUUGUAGCGGGGGAUAACUAUUGGAAACGAUAGCUAAUACCGCAUAACAAUGGGUGACUCAUGUCAUUUAUUUGAAAGGGGCAAAUGCUCCACUACAAGAUGGACCUGCGUUGUAUUAGCUAGUAGGUGAGGUAACGGCUCACCUAGGCGACGAUACAUAGCCGACCUGAGAGGGUGAUCGGCCACACUGGGACUGAGACACGGCCCAGACUCCUACGGGAGGCAGCAGUAGGGAGUCUUCGGCAAUGGGGGCAACCCUGACCGAGCAACGCCGCGUGAGUGAAGAAGGUUUUCGGAUCGUAAAGCUCUGUUGUAAGUCAAGAGCGAGUGUGAGAGUGGAAAGUUCACACUGUGACGGUAGCUUACCAGAAAGGGACGGCUAACUACGUGCCAGCAGCCGCGGUAAUACGUAGGUCCCGAGCGUUGUCCGGAUUUAUUGGGCGUAAAGCGAGCGCAGGCGGUUUGAUAAGUCUGAAGUUAAAGGCUGUGGCUCAACCAUAGUUCGCUUUGGAAACUGUCAAACUUGAGUGCAGAAGGGGAGAGUGGAAUUCCAUGUGUAGCGGUGAAAUGCGUAGAUAUAUGGAGGAACACCGGUGGCGAAAGCGGCUCUCUGGUCUGUAACUGACGCUGAGGCUCGAAAGCGUGGGGAGCGAACAGG
rnacentral:rRNA from 1 species